AUGCCCACUUGGAUUUUUAACAAAAGUUAAAGGAAUAAAUUUUAUAGGCUUGGAAAAUGAGGCAACAAUACUGAUUGCAUUUGCUGUGAUGGUACAUUUGAUUGGAGCAGCCUGUCUUUAUUAUACAAGACUCUUAUAAGUGUAGAGCUCUUGGGGGCGGGGGAACAUUUUACUUUUUGUUUCUAUUGUAAAGGAAGAGAGAAGACAGAACAAACUGGAAUGUUUUAUUAUAUAGUAUAGCGAUCACUUUUUGCCUUUCAAAGUUCUGGGUAAAAAUGUGUUAGAUCUGUAAUUAAACUCUUUUUUUUAAAGCACUACAUCUAUUUUCACUAAUUGUUAAUUUCUGUUGUUUGAACCCUUCAUUUAGUUAAUUUUCUUAUAGAUUUAAGAAAGUAAACGAUGUAUUUUGCACAGUGCACUUCUUAUGUCUAUUUUAACAAUCCUCCUGCAUCUGUAUCUUACAGUCAACCUUUUGACUACCUGGUGCCAGCUAUAUAAGGAGUAAAAUUGAUUCUUACCAAUAUUUGAACUCCAGUCCCAAACUAAUCUAUCGGGUUCACUGGUAUAUAAAUAUCUAGGAAAUAUUUUUCCAAUCUACAAUUUGGUGGUGCUAUUGUGCAGUAAUUAAUAGUACUCUUGCCAUAGAAGAAAUUAUAUUAACUUCCCUGCUAAUAUCCUUUCCUAGUUAUUUGCUCUUUGCAAAUUAAAUAAAAGCAACCAAGAGAAAAGAAAACAUUGUAGAUAUCUAUUUAUAUUUAAAGUUUACGUUUCAUGAACUUCAGCUGCAGGAUUCUGGCAUUAUGCAUGCCAUUUCUCAUCAGAUCUGACUUCUAGGAUCGUGACUCAGAGAUACGUACACAGACUAAUAGAUACUGUGUGAUCUAAGGGGUGGGAUAACCAAAUGCAGCUUAGAAUGCUAUUUUGAGAUGUAUGAUAUUCAGUUCAUCACUUGAUUGCUUUGGUCUAGUUGCAGCACAACUGUAUAUAUUGUACAACCUAAAUUGAUUCUUAUUUUCAUUGUCCUUAAUGCAGUGAUUUAUAAUUAGAGCAUGUUUAGUAAGUUUACUCUUCCUGUUAACUAGUCAUUUGACUGAGAAAAAAAUAAAAUACUUUUAAAUGGA